AAACUUUCAACAACGGAUCUCUUGGUUUCGCAUCGAUGAAAACGCACGAACUGCGAUAAGUAAUGUGAAUUGCAGAAUUUUGUGAAUCAUCGAAUCUUUGACGCACAUUGCGCCUUUUGGUAUUCCAAAAGGCAUACCUGUUUGAGAGUCAU
rnacentral:rRNA from 1 species